rnacentral:rRNA from 1 species
UGCAGAAUUCCGCGAAUCAUCGAGUCUUUGAACGCAAGUUGCGCCCGAGGCUUGUCCCGAGGGCAUGCCUGCCUGAGCGUCACC